rnacentral:rRNA from 1 species
ACGCACGCUGGCGGCGUGCUUCACCCAUGCAAUUCGAACGGAAAGGCCUCUUUCGGGGGGUACUCGAGUGGCGAACGGGUGAGUAACACGUGAGUAACCUGCCCUUGACUUUGGGAUAACUUCAGGAAACUGGGGCUAAUACCGGAUAGGAGCUCCUGCUGCAUGGUGGGGGUUGGAAAGUUUCGGCGGUUGGGGAUGGACUCGCGGCUUAUCAGCUUGUUGGUGGGGUAGUGGCUUACCAAGGCUUUGACGGGUAGCCGGCCUGAGAGGGUGACCGGCCACAUUGGGACUGAGAUACGGCCCAGACUCCUACGGGAGGCAGCAGUGGGGAAUAUUGCACAAUGGGUGGAAGCCUGAUGCAGCAACGCCGUGUGCGGGAUGACGGCCUUCGGGUUGUAAACCGCUUUCGCUCAUGACGAAGCUUUGUGUGACGGUAGUGGGUAAAGAAGCACCGGCUAACUACGUG